rnacentral:rRNA from 1 species
UACGUAGGGAGCAAGCGUUGUCCGGAAUCAUUGGGCGUAAAGCGCGCGUAGGUGGCCUCAUAAGUCCGCUGUGAAAGUCAAAGGCUCAACCUUUGAAAGCCGGUGGAUACUGUGGGGCUAGAGUCCGGAAGAGGUGAGUGGAAUUCCUGGUGUAGCGGUGGAAUGCGCAGAUAUCAGGAGGAACACCAAUAGCGAAGGCAGCUCGCUGGGACGGUACUGACGCUAAGGCGCGAAAGCGUGGGGAGCGAACAGG